CAGGAUGAACGCUGGCGGCGUGCUUAAUACAUGCAAGUCGAACGAAGACAUCUCGCCGAAGCUUGCUUCAUUGAGAUAUCUUAGUGGCGGACGGGUGAGUAACGCGUGGGUAACCUGCCUUACACAGGGGGAUAACAGUUAGAAAUGACUGCUAAUACCGCAUAAGCGCACAUUAUCGCAUGAUAGAGUGUGAAAAGAUUUAUCGGUGUAAGAUGGACCCGCGUCUGAUUAGCUAGUUGGUGAGGUAACGGCCCACCAAGGCGACGAUCAGUAGCCGGCCUGAGAGGGUGAACGGCCACAUUGGGACUGAGACACGGCCCAAACUCCUACGGGAGGCAGCAGUAGGGAAUAUUGGACAAUGGGGGAAACCCUGAUCCCAGCGACGCCGCGUGAGUGAAGAAGUAUUUCGGUACGUAAAGCUCUAUCAGCAGGGAAGAAAAUGACGGUACCUGACUAAGAAGCACCGGCUAAAUACGUGCCAGCCGCCGC
rnacentral:rRNA from 1 species